rnacentral:lncRNA from 1 species
AUGUCAAACAAAACACGACCUUGGAGGAAAGCUGGGAAGGCCUUUCUCUGCUGUUUAAAACAUCUGACACGGCCAGGAGACACCGAGCUAGACGCGAGGCCACAGCGAGUCCAGAGAAAACGGCAGGAGCAGGAGGGAAGCCGUGCGCCGAUGCAGCUUUUAAUGAAAUUCAUCCACGUUGGCCUUCGUUUCCGCAGGGACGAUCUGCGUCUUCGGCAUGCAAACGUCGCUCCCCUAAUCGGCCUUUCUACGGCGCUCGAAGAGGGUAUUUGGAAACGGGAAACCUGGUCCUACAGCUCAGGGUCAUCCUGGGCGUUUGGACGACCGGCAGAGUGAUUACACCAAUUAAAUCCGGACAAGCAGCAAGCCUGCCUAUGUAGACUAAAGAAUUUGCUGAAGGUCGCAUAACCUGAGGCCAAGCUGGAUCUCGUGACUCCCAGUCUGGUGCUUUAAUCGCAGACCGUUCCUGCUUUUCAUGCU